AUUGAACGCUGGCGGCAUGCCUUACACAUGCAAGUCGAACGGCAGCACGGGUGCUUGCACCUGGUGGCGAGUGGCGAACGGGUGAGUAAUACAUCGGAACAUGUCCUGUAGUGGGGGAUAGCCCGGCGAAAGCCGGAUUAAUACCGCAUACGAUCUACGGAUGAAAGCGGGGGACCUUCGGGCCUCGCGCUAUAGGGUUGGCCGAUGGCUGAUUAGCUAGUUGGUGGGGUAAAGGCCUACCAAGGCGACGAUCAGUAGCUGGUCUGAGAGGACGACCAGCCACAGUGGGACUGGGACACGGCCAAGACCCCUAGGGGGGGCAGAGGGGGGGAAUUUUGGAAAAGGGGGGAAAGCCUGACCCAGAAAUGCCGGGGGUGUGAAGAAGGCCUUCGGGUUGUAAAGCACUUUUGGCCGGAAAAAAAUCCUGGGCCCUAAAAGGGGCGGGGGAUGACGGUACCGGAAGAAUAAGCACCGGCAAACUAGGU
rnacentral:rRNA from 1 species